CCGGAGGAGGGGCUGGAGUGGCCGAGCGGACGGAGCGCGGUGACAACUGAGCGCGGAGAGCGUGACGACACCAACGGGGCUGCUGGAGCCGUUUUGAUCAGCCCUUCAUCAGGGAUAAAUUAUUCGCUUAGACAUGGUAAUGCCUCCACCUGAGAUUUACCUUCCUCCUCUGCUUCCAGUACUGGUGCGUUUCCUGUACACCUGUCUGAAGAUAUUUCUAGCCAUGCACUACAUUUGAGGAGAUGUGUUCAUGGGAGAAGAAUUCUCCUGCCUUCAAGGAUCUCAAAUGACAGUGAAAACAUGGACAAUACACUAGUGAAUGGUGGAACAACUAGAAAAUGUUGGAGAAUACCUCUCUCUGCAGCCCCUUGAUGACCACACCCUGGGGAAUUGAACGGGAGAGUGAAAGGGGAAGGUGGCGUCCUGUAGUCCUCUUUACCUCCAAGAAAUAGAAGUGGUCUUUCCACCCAAGGAGACAUCUCACCUCAGAGGGAGCCCCAAAUGGAAAGCGCGGAUCAGGAGGGGGUAACGAUUGCUAAAUAAAAAGAAGAGACCUCCGUGAUCCUGUUUGGGGGAAAGGAAGUCCUGAGCUAAUUCCAUACAGGCUUUGUGGACUCCACCCCCACUCCAGACCAAAGCCAUCAGGACAUUGGGAAAGACAAAUCCCUUCACCACCAAAGGGAAGGUUGCUGGGACCUGAGGGUGGAGUUAAGCAGCCAGAUUUGGUAUAAAAACCAAACAUGUGGGCCUUGGGGGGCUCACUCUCUGGCUCGCCUCCUGGCUUCACGGCUCCUGGCUUGCGGCCAGCUCUCAGAGUGCUGUUUGGGAUUCCAGAUCGGCGAAUCGGGUAGGACGCAUUUAAAACUUUGUCUCCCACUUUUCUCCGUGAGCUGUACAUUUCCUCAUUUCCCCUUCCCUUGUAAAUAAACCUUUUAUUAACCUUUCGCGUGUGCCUGCAGUAGAGUAUUGAUAAGUCCUUUUAAGCGUGCGGGUGAGG